rnacentral:rRNA from 1 species
GGAAUGAUGGGAAUUUAAACCUCUUCCAGAGUAUCAAUUGGAGGGCAAGUCUGGUGCCAGCAGCCGCGGUAAUUCCAGCUCCAAUAGCGUAUAUUAAAAUUGUUGCAGUUAAAAAGCUCGUAGUUGAAUUUCUGCUGUAUUGCAUCUUCUCUUUUUAUAUGAGUUUUUGCAUUAUGGCUUAUUUCAGUAUUAAUUUUUUAUUAUUACUGAAUGUUUACUUUGAGAAAAUUAGAGUGCUCAAAGCAGGCUUUUGCCUUGAAUAGUUUAGCAUGGAAUAAUAAAGUAGGACUUUGGUUCUAUUUUGUUGGUUUUAGGUACCAAAGUAAUGGUUAAUAGGAACAGUUGGGGGCAUUCGUAUUUAACUGUCAGAGGUGAAAUUCUUAGAUUUGUUAAAGACGAACUACUGCGAAAGCAUUUGCCAAGGAUGUUUUCAUUAAUCAAGAACGAAAGUUAGGGGAUCGAAGACGAUCAGAUACCGUCGUAGUCCUA